UACGAAGGGGGCUAGCGUUGCUCGGAAUCACUGGGCGUAAAGGGUGCGUAGGCGGGUCUUUAAGUCAGGGGUGAAAUCCUGGAGCUCAACUCCAGAACUGCCUUUGAUACUGAGGAUCUUGAGUUCGGGAGAGGUGAGUGGAACUGCGAGUGUAGAGGUGAAAUUCGUAGAUAUUCGCAAGAACACCAGUGGCGAAGGCGGCUCACUGGCCCGGUACUGACGCUGAGGUGCGAAAGCGUGGGAGCGAACAGG
rnacentral:rRNA from 1 species